AAUUGCAAUGCCUGCCACUGCUAUAAAUGUUUGUUAGCAAAAAUUGGCACAUUGUCUUGAAGCAGUUAUGUUCAAUAAUUAGAGGCAGUCACCGCUGAAACACUCAGUACAAAACACAAAACAAAGAUAGGUAGUGAAAAUGUAAAUGUUGAACAAAGUCACCUCUCAAGCUACAUU
rnacentral:lncRNA from 1 species